UAUGGAUAUAUUCCUUUAAUUAUGGAACUGGAAAAUUUCUUUAAUUCAGUCUAUGCUUGUAUAACACAAAUGCUCGAGAAUCCACCACCCACCCAACCUGGUGCUCAGGCUCACUCAUUGGCAGUUGGCUACAUGAAUGCGUGUGGCUGUUAGCAUCUCCAGACAGAUAUAUGAAGAAAUAUAGCACUGAUCAUGUGUGUGAAUACAUAUAGAGAAAAACCACAGCAUUCUUAAUUCUGGCCCAAGGUGAUAAGCCACACACUGAGUGCCACUGGGCAAGUAUCUGACAGAUGAAGGAUGUCUUGUAAGGGCCUCCUCAUCUGGGUAGAGGCUGACCCCCUGGAUGAAUGGCGAUGAAAUACCAGGUCACCUGCAGAACUGCUUCUCCAAUAUAUGCGUAUAAAUGCUUGUGUGUUUGUGUGUGCAGCAUGUGAUGUCAGUUGCCCAAGUACAAAACACGAGUUUAUUCUGUUCAUACUAAGCAUGUUAAAUAAAUCAAGUUUUGUAACUAUAACACAAUUCUUUUUUUAAAAAGGAACAUUGAAGAUCUUCAAAAAUUGCUACAGUACAAAAAAAGUGUGUGUGUCUGUGUGUUGGUAUUUAUAUAUUUAUAUAUGUAUAUUAACCAGAAAUAGUGACUCUACCGGAAGUGAUCCCCCACCCCUGUCCUCUGUAAGAUUUCUCCGCGUGGUUUGCUGGGCUCGGCUCCGGCCCAGCUUCCGGGUCAUUACAUGGCACAUAGUGGUAUUAUUGGCACAGGUUCAGAAUCGUGGUGCGAGUCCCAGUUGUCGGGAGCUGUCUCCUGUCCUUCUGCUUGGCUUUCUCUGCUGUCUCUAGUCGUCGCUUCUUGCCUUUCUUCUUUCUGCUCUCCGAAGAAAACUCUGGGAGAACGGAGCGCCCCUUGGCACGAGCAAUUUUACAAAAAUAGAUUUGGCCUUGGGUGCCCUGCUCUGCUGAGUUUCCCACCGGAAACAGAAGUGGCAGGUGUAGGACCCUCCCCUUAGAUAGUUUAGUUUUAGGUUUUAUAAUUUUUUGUUUUGUUGUUUUGUUUGUACAAGUUCACCAACGGAAUCCUGCAGAGGAAGGAGAGAAGAGAUUAAAUGGCGGGAUGCCCUGGGACACAAGGAGGCUUAUACUGCCCACACACCCACUCUGGUCACCAAGGAUUGGUGGGGACAUGGGGAAGGACUUCAGCCUCGAAUUCAGAGCCUCCCAGGAAGGGCUGGGGACGCAUCACAGAAAAAUACAGAAAAUCUAGGGGCCACGAGCAUGAAAAAGAG
rnacentral:lncRNA from 1 species